GCAUAUCAAUAAGCGGAGGAAAAGAAACCAACCGGGAUUGCCCUAGUAACGGCGAGUGAAGCGGCAAGAGCUCAAAUUUGAAAGCUGGCCCCCUCGGGGUCCGCAUUGUAAUUUGCAGAGGAUGCUUCGGGAACGGCCCCCAUCUAAGUGCCCUGGAACGGGCCGUCAUAGAGGGUGAGAAUCCCGUCUGGGAUGGGGUGGCCGCGCCCGUGUGAAGCUCCUUCGACGAGUCGAGUUGUUUGGGAAUGCAGCUCUAAUUGGGUGGUAAAUUUCAUCUAAAGCUAAAUAUUGGCCGGAGACCGAUAGCGCACAAGUAGAGUGAUCGAAAGAUGAAAAGCACUUUGAAAAGAGAGUUAAACAGCACGUGAAAUUGUUGAAAGGGAAGCGCUUGCGACCAGACUCGCCCGCGGGGUUCAGCCGGCACUCGUGCCGGUGUACUUCCCCGCGGGCGGGCCAGCGUCGGUUUGGGCGGCCGGUCAAAGGCCUCUGGAAGGUAACGCCUCUCGGGGCGUCUUAUAGCCAGGGGUGCCAUGCGGCCUGCCCGGACCGAGGAACGCGCUUCGGCUCGGACGCUGGCAUAAUGGUCGUAAGCGACCCGUCUUGAAACACGGACC
rnacentral:rRNA from 3 species